rnacentral:rRNA from 1 species
GAUGAACGCUGGCGGCGUGCCUAAUACAUGCAAGUCGAGCGAACAGACGAGGAGCUUGCUCCUCUGACGUUAGCGGCGGACGGGUGAGUAACACGUGGAGAACCUACCUAUAAGACUUGGAUAACUUCGGGAAACCGGAGCUACUACCGGAUAAUAUAUUGAACCGCAUGGUUCAAUAGUGAAGGACGGUUUUGCUGUCACUUAUAGAUGGAUCCGCGCCGCAUUAGCUAGUUGGUAAGGUAACGGCUUACCAAGGCGACGAUGCGUAGCCGACCUGAGAGGGUGAUCGGCGACACUGGAACUGAGACACGGUCCAGACUCCUACGGGAGGCAGCAGUAGGGAAUCUUCCGCAAUGGGCGAAAGCCUGACGGAGCAACGCCGCGUGAGGGAUGAAGGUCUUCGGAUCGUAAAACUCUGUUAUUAGGGAAGAACAAAUGUGUAAGUAACUAUGCACGUCUUGACGGUACCUAAUCAGAAAGCCACGGCUAACUACGUG